AUCCCAUGAUGAGGACGGGUGGUGACGUACUCCUGCAGUCUUUCCCAAGUUUCAAUAAUGGUUUCAUCCCUCGUCUGCUAAAAGCUGGAUAUUCUUCCACGAAUAGU
rfam:Oryza barthii chromosome 1, whole genome shotgun sequence.